rnacentral:rRNA from 1 species
UACGGGAGGCAGCGGUGGGGAAUAUUGCACAAUGGGCGCAAGCCUGAUGCAGCCAUGCCGCGUGUAUGAAGAAGGCCUUCGGGUUGUAAAGUACUUUCAGUCGUGAGGAAGGUGUUAAGGUUAAUAACCUUAGCAAUUGACGUUAGCGACAGAAGAAGCACCGGCUAACUCCGUGCCAGCAGCCGCGGUAAUACGGAGGGUGCGAGCGUUAAUCGGAAUUACUGGGCGUAAAGGGCACGCAGGCGGUUAAUUAAGUUGGAUGUGAAAUCCCCGGGCUUAACCUGGGAAUGGCAUUCAAGACUGGUUAGCUAGAGUCUUGUAGAGGGGGUAGAAUUCCAUGUGUAGCGGUGAAAUGCGUAGAGAUGUGGAGGAAUACCGGUGGCGAAGGCGGCCCCUGGACAAAGACUGACGCUCAUGUGCGAAAGCUGGGGAGCAAACAGGGAUUAGAUACCCGU